AACGAACGCUGGCGGCAUGCCUAACACAUGCAAGUCGAACGAGACCUUCGGGUCUAGUGGCGCACGGGUGCGUAACGCGUGGGAACCUGCCCUUAGGUUCGGAAUAACUCCUCGAAAGGGGUGCUAAUACCGGAUAAUGUCUUCGGACCAAAGAUUUAUCGCCUUUGGAUGGGCCCGCGUUGGAUUAGCUAGUUGGUAGGGUAAAAGCCUACCAAGGCGACGAUCCAUAGCUGGUCUGAGAGGAUGAUCAGCCACACUGGGACUGAGACACGGUCCAGACUCCUACGGGAAGCAGCAGUGGGGAAUAUUGGACAAUGGGCGAAAGCCUGAUCCAGCAAUGCCGCGUGAGUGAUGAAGGCCUUAGGGUUGUAAAGCUCUUUUACCCGGGAUGAUAAUGACAGUACCGGGAGAAUAAGCUCCGGCUAACUCCGUG
rnacentral:rRNA from 1 species